rnacentral:rRNA from 1 species
CCUACGAGAGGCAGCAGUGAGGAAUAUUGGUCAAUGGACGAGAGUCUGAACCAGCCAAGUAGCGUGAAGGAUGACUGCCCUAUGGGUUGUAAACUUCUUUUAUAUGGGAAUAAAACGUUCCACGUGUGGGAUUUUGUAUGUACCAUAUGAAUAAGGAUCGGCUAACUCCGUGCCAGCAGCCGCGGGAAUACGGAGGGUCCGAGCGUUAUCCGGAUUUAUUGGGUUUAAAGGGAGCGUAGGUUGAGUGUUAAGUCAGUUGUGAAAGUGUGCGGCUCAACCGUAAAAUUGCAGUUGAAACUGGCAGUCUUGAGUACAGUAGAGGUGGGCGGAAUUCGUGGUGUAGCGGUGAAAUGCUUAGAUAUCACGAAGAACUCCGAUUGCGAAGGCAGUUCACUGGACUGCAACUGACACUGAGGCUCGAAAGUGUGGGUAUCAAACAGGAUUAGAUACCCUUGUAGUC